GCAUAUCAAUAAGCGGAGGAAAAGAAACCAACCGGGAUUGCCUCAGUAACGGCGAGUGAAGCGGCAAGAGCUCAAAUUUGAAAUCUGGCCCCUCUGGGGUCCGAGUUGUAAUUUGCAGAGGAUGCUUCGGGUGCGGUCCCCGUCUAAGUGCCCUGGAACGGGCCGUCAUAGAGGGUGAGAAUCCCGUCUGGGAUGGGCGGCCGCGCCCGUGUGAAGCUCCUUCGACGAGUCGAGUUGUUUGGGAAUGCAGCUCUAAGCGGGUGGUAAAUUUCAUCUAAAGCUAAAUACUGGCCGGAGACCGAUAGCGCACAAGUAGAGUGAUCGAAAGAUGAAAAGCACUUUGAAAAGAGAGUUAAAUAGCACGUGAAAUUGUUGAAAGGGAAGCGUUGUCCACCAGACUCGCCCGGGGGGGCUCAGCCGGCACGUGUGCCGGUGUACUCCUCUCCGGGCGGGCCAGCAUCGGUUUGGGCGGCUGGUGAAAGGCCCCGGGAAUGUACCACCCUCCGGGGUGUCUUAUAGCCCGGGGUGCCAUGCAGCCAGCCUGGACCGAGGCCCGCGCUUCGGCGAGGAUGCUGGCGUAAUGGUGGUCAACGGCCCGUCUUGAAACACGGACCAAGGAGUCUAACAUCUAUGCGAGUGUUCGGGUGUCAAACCCGUCCGCGCAGUGAAAGCGAACGGAGGUGGGAGCCUUUCGGGGCGCACCAUCGACCGAUCCUGAAGUCUUCGGAUGGAUUUGAGUAAGAGCAUAGCUGUUGGGACCCGAAAGAUGGUGAACUAUGCCUGAAUAGGGCGAAGCCAGAGGAAACUCUGGUGGAGGCUCGCAGCGGUUCUGACGUGCAAAUCGAUCGUCAAAUUUGGGUAUAGGGGCGAAAGACUAAUCGAACCAUCUGGUAGCUGGUUCCUG
rnacentral:rRNA from 1 species